CCUGCUGUAGAGAAACCACACAGUUCACACAUUAGGUGACCUCAUUUUUAGGUAUUGUUAACAAUGCUCUGCCCUGCUAUGGUGAAACAGCUGUUGCUCUGUUUUCCAAAGGUUGAAAUAUAAUCUCUCAAGUUUCCAUUUCACCUGAAAGAUUGGAGCCUCGGGCAAUACUUAACAACAUCCUGUUUGCACGCUCUGUGUGUGUGUGUCGGAUAGUAUGACCAGGAAGGCUGGAAAGCUAGUUGAGUAGUUUUACUACUUGUAAUGGACUUGUGUACACAAUGAGUGGUUCUCUAAAUUUCAGAUAUUACUUUUACCUCCAGAAAGGGAUUUGUAAUCACGUUUUCAUGAUGCAUUUCUUUCUUAGUCUCUAAUUCUCUGAUGUCCAUUUUGUCCCAUUGUAAUCUCUAAAUUAUCCCUGACUAGGGCUGACCCGAAUGCUUAGAUGCUUUGACUGUUGUCGUGGUGAUCGACCUCCAAAUCAGUAUUCGAAUGCUUUGUUUUGUUUUGUGUAAUGUAAUAAGUAAGGGAUAUUGUACAGCUAGCGGGUCACCCUGACAGCUGUUCAUUAUCUCGCUUAUUACACGGCUACCUACUUAAGAAAUCAAUAAUUUGACACACAAAAGGUCCGCCAGAGUCCGUCAUUAGAACUGCACCCAUAGCAACGGUCUGUUAUAAAGAAAAAACAGACCGUAAUCAACAGAGCCGUGUAAUAAUAUUGUAUAAAUCCCAAAAUAACCCAUGAAAUCAGGAAUCAUCCCACAAUAUUAUUCAUUAUUCACAUUCAACAGUAAUUAUUACUAGUUAUUCUCAGAUGAAUAUCGCUGUUUGUUGUGUGUAGAAGUGUGUGCGUGUGUGUGUGUGUGUGUGUGUACAGUGCAGCAGUGCUGAAACGGGGGAGAUGGAGACAGACAGACAGAAGAACAUGUCAGCCCUCUGCGCUGCAAAGCGAAGCUUCGAAUACCUUCAAAUAUUACUCAGCGAAGCUUCAAAGUAGGGAUGUGACGGCGAGGACGUUUUCCCACCGGUUAAUAAACUUGUGACAACACCGGUGUUGCCGAUUACACUGGACGUUUUACAAGAAAAGACGGCGCUCAAUAUGUGUAGAGCGCUUACUUUGAUCUUUAACGUCGGGUGGCGGUGUGUCUGGCCUCUCCGGUAGAGCUUUCACUGCAAGGCCGCAGGUUUCCACCCGGCGCCGCUCCGCCGCUUGCACAGGCUGUGAACGCUCCGUCCUCUGCAUGGCGAUUACCUCAUUAACGUUAUGCUUCCCUUAUAGCAUUGGGGUAAAUAAGAAGUAUUGCCAAAUAGGCGCUUUUGCUUUUCGCUUCGACACUGAAUCCUCCGCCAUCGUCUUGUCUGUCAACUCUCUCUCGUCCCGUGUGUGUGAAAUCUGACUCCUGCUACUCUGAGCUGAGACUCCGUAUGGAUGCUUUCACCUUCAGUUUGUAGCAUUCGUCGUCUGACUAUGUAUUGAUAACACGGCGCUGAUACGGCAAAAUGAACUAAAUGGGUUUUAUUUAUGUAAAGAAAAAGCAAAACGACAGUGGGGACGGUUGGCAUGUAAUGUAAUCAGUGUGUGCCCGACCACCGUGUAACGACUACUGUGACAAGCCUACUUCGAAGCCUACUUGGGGACAGCCCUAUCCCAGAUCAUGUUGGAGAAGGCAUUUGAGUCUCUGAGUUCAGAUACAAGUUGACAUCUAUAACAAGGGAAAGACAGGACACGAGAGGCGUCGAGUUCACAUGUUGCUUUGCCACUAAACGCCUCGUAUACAGUAUAUCUCCUAAAAUGUUUCACCACAUGCAAAUCUGGCUUGAUCCAAUGGAUGUGGUUUAACUAAAGGUGGUAUCAUUGUGUAAACCAGCAUAUAAUCAAUCAGCUGAAAGAUUUAAACACUCAAAAGCACCAAAAUUGGAGCGACAAAUGAUGUGAGCAAAAGGCCCCUGAGAGGAUAGAUGUCAAGAAAUUGAGGAUGAGCAGGGUGCUGAUGCUGCGUUUAAGAAAAGUCAGGACGUCUGACUUUGCUUCUUGCACCUUGGUCGAAGCCGUUGCUUCAAGUUUUGUUUCCAAAAUGGAAAUUUUGGGGAAGACUUCUGAACCUUCACUUUACACAGUAAUACUUUUUAAUAACCUUUUAAAUACAUUUCAGCUUUCAGUAUUGCAUGAAGUGCUUGCUGUUGGUAAAAAUAUUUAUUCAAAAUGCGCAGUUAUAACGAUGGCUUUCUGUUGCGUGAAGGCAAUGCAUGCAUUUUUUUCCAUGCUGCAGCUCUAAAACAUAAUAGUUGGAGAGAUAUGAUGUUGGGAAUUCCAGACUUCUGACUGUAUCUUGAAUGCAGCAUUGAAAUCAAACCUGAGCUGAGGUGUGGAAGUUUCCCAGGACCAUGAAGGGACUUAUGUCCUUGUGUGUUUUAAAUCGUCUUCCUGCUUCAGGCUUUGUGAGGUUUUGUUCCGGCCGGAUAAAGAACUUUAUGAAUAUUCAGGUCUCUCUUAGAAGACUGGAAAAUAUCUAAAACUGCAGGUUUAUUCUGGCGUCCUGUUGAGGACUCUACACUGUAGACUGCCUUCUUUGGUUUUUCUGGGAAAAAUUUGAUCCUCAGGUUUGUGAUCCGUAUCGCUGACUGAUUUUUCCGGAGAUUGUUUGAAAGAUAUGCACUAAAUUAAGCUUCUCGACACUAAUUGUGACUGUCUUUUAGAAAAGAGAGGGUUUCACUAUUAGGCCAAAAAUGUCAGUGUGAUUACAGGAAUGCAGGGUGAAUUUGAGGGUUGCGUUUAUCAUGACGUUUAUAGAAUGAAAUUUGGGAUGAUUUCCAGCUCAGCAGCAAAGAAGUGAAGCUAAACACUUACAGUAAAGUAACAUUGUGGUUCAAUAUAAAGGUUUCUUUCAAUCAUGUACAUGUCAUGUUCAAAAUGUACAGUAUGUAUGCGCUAUUAAAAAAUUGAGUAUGAAUUAUUAUUUAGUAUGACUUAUAGUCAUACUAAAAUCUCUGCAACAGUUUGGAGAAUAGGACCGUUUGAAAUGUGAAAUUAUGCAUUUCGAAUAACUUUUAUUUCAAAUUAUGUCGUUAAAAAAACCAAACUUGUCUGGAGUUGCUGCAAAUUUAGAUUUGAUAAGAGUGAAUAAGACUGAUGUUUCAUCAACAGAAAGCUCGAAUCCAGAAUCUGAUUGUGUGUAAAAUGAUCAGCAACUGUAUCGAUGUGUUUUGCCUGUAAUGAAGGUUUUUCUGUCAGUUCAUAUAAAAUGUGCUGUUUAUUUUGCCU